rfam:Gossypium arboreum cultivar AKA8401 contig_24281_1, whole genome shotgun sequence.
AAUCCAUGCUUCGAACAUUUCUGAAGCAAUUCCUUUAAUCUUUCCCAAGCUUCAUACAAUGUCCCAUCCUCUGUUUGUUGAAAAGAUGUGUUGUCAGUUCUAAGCUU